AGAAAAUGAAAGCUCAGCUCGUGUUCCUGCUGUUGGCUGUCGUGGUCGGGCUGAAAGCUGCGUUCACUGACGACGAGCCAGUUAAAGAAGAGGGAGUAGCUGUAGAUGAGAUCGAGGACAUUGAUGUGGACGCCUUCUUCAACAACGAUCCUCAGGAUACAAAAGACAAAAAAGGAGCUAAGCCGCAUAAAUGAGAUCGAAGGGGAACAGCAUCAACUUUCUAACCCUACCCCCCCGCUCCCAGCUCCCUCUAAAUAUGGCCCAAACUGUUGCAACCAUAUGAUGUUAAAUAAAUAAAGUCAACAUUGAA